GGGUGAGUGGCGAAAUGGUAUACGCACUAGCCUUAGGAGCUAGCGGGGCAACCCAUGGAGGUUCGAAUCCUCUCUCACCCA
rnacentral:tRNA from 1 species